UGGGGAAUAUUGCACAAUGGGCGCAAGCCUGAUGCAGCGACGCCGCGUGAGGGAUGAAGGCCUUCGGGUUGUAAACCUCUUUCGUCAGGGAACAAGGCGCUACUUUUUUGGUGGUGUUGAGGGUACCUGGAUAAGAAGCGCCGGCUAACUACGUGCCAGCAGCCGCGGUAAUACGUAGGGCGCAAGCGUUGUCCGGAAUUAUUGGGCGUAAAGAGCUCGUAGGCGGCUGGUCGCGUCUGUCGUGAAAACUUCCGGCUCAACCGGGGGCUUGCGGUGGGUACGGGCCGGCUAGAGUGCGGUAGGGGUAACUGGAACUCCUGGUGUAGCGGUGGAAUGCGCAGAUAUCAGGAAGAACACCGAUGGCGAAGGCAGGUUACUGGGCCGUUACUGACGCUGAGGAGCGAAAGCGUGGGGAGCGAACAGGAUUAGAUACCCUGGUAGUCCACGCUGUAAACGUUGGGCACUAGGUGUGAGGCUCCUUUCCGGGGGUUUUGCGCCGUAGCUAACGCAUUAAGUGCCCCGCCUGGGGAGUACGGCCGCAAGGCU
rnacentral:rRNA from 1 species